rnacentral:lncRNA from 1 species
CUGAGCGCCCACGAUAUUAACGCUUCUUGAUCCUUUGGCUGUUUGGCAGCGCGAGCUUGCACAUGCAAUCAUGUUUGCCGUGGCCAAAAUUCCAAACGUGUGCUGUUGUUGGCAACUAUAUAUCUUAGUCUUGGACAUGUGAAGUUUCUGUUGGACUUCGUUUCUAAGUGCUGAAUCAUUCGUGAAUGAAUCUGUGCUUCGAUCGAUCAUUUCAACCGAUUAAACUCAUGAACUAAGGUCUGAGACAGGGUUGCCAAGUACGCUACGCAUGAACGCAAGACUAACAAUUUCGAGGGCUCGACAUUUUUCACCGAGAUUUGAUCGAUUACAAUGAAGUUUAUGUUCCGGUGAAAAAGGCGGCAACGGUCUCAAAGAAGAAGGUGACGCUUCAAUACCGGCUAGGUUCAAACAAAUUUUGCUUGAAUCUCAUUGAAAUUGAAACCAGAAUGGCCGGAUUAAAAACUGAAAUAGAUGAUUUCAGUGCAAAAACAAAUCCCUAACCAACAACUUGAAUAACUUCCAAAACCAAACCGGCAUGGCAAUGUGAUGUCUACUCUUGCGAGAUAAUCUGACAAAUGUUCAGAUACAUAUGCCUAAGUAUGUUUUCGAGUUUUAUACACCAAUUAAAAAAAAACUGACAUGGGUUGUUGAACCGAGGUUACUCAACCAUGUAUGUUGUUUCCACGGUGGCAGGACACAUCCUCAAAAACAUAACGAGGGGAUUAACUAG